AUGGGGCUAUCAAGCUAGUCUGAAAACCCUUCCCCAAGAAAAGAGGAAACUCUUUGAAAGAGGCCAAGAAACGACCGGGCAGAGCCAGGGCAUGGCUGAAAAACGAGUGCCGGAUCCUGCUCGGAAACAGUACCCAAAUGUGCAUGACCGUCUAGUUUUAUGAGAUUGUUGUUUUUUGGAAGGCCUUCUCAUUUGUUACAUUGUGUUAGUGUUUUGAGAAUUGUGGUGUAGAAGCACGCUAAAACACUUGCUCACGAUUAUACCAUAUACAGAGAAAAAUAUCAGGACUUCUGAUGAAGAGCUUGAAGUCCUGCUGGUCGCUUGUUCCUAUCAGGUCCUGUAGCAGCAGCAACCAAAAAUCUUGCUCGCAAUUUGUGAAACCGCUCAGUGAUGCGUAUCCUCCACUCCCCUGCCGAUGUUGCAAAGGCUAUGGAGAGAUGGCAUGCGAGCAAUGCGAUGGCCGAGGCACGCUCGCGUUGGGAGGAUACCACCGCAAAAAUCCCGUCGACAUGGCCCGCGUUGUUGGAUCCAAAUGGACAGCCAUGGAGCGCACUUUUGGAUGGCGCCACUACGAAGCUCGAGCCAAGCAGCGGAUGAGCGACAAGGAAUGGUUCGUCCAAAUGGUGGCCACUUGUGACACCACCACCCAGCUGUGGGUGAAUGCGCAAAAUCUCCGGGAUCGCAAGCUUUGGAGCAUGGGGUGGCUCCAGCGAUCCGAGUUCUCCGACCUCAAGGAGCGGAAUUCGGGGCCCAAAUGCCGGGCGUGCAAGGGGCAGGGGAAGAUCCAGUGCCCCAGUUGUGAUGGAUCGUCCAUGAGCAGCAGCAAGGAGCUCCAGAUCAUCGAUGUGUGAUUGAUAAGUGUGCCCAAAAUUUGCCAGCGCUGCAUUCGUAUCUGUGGUGCCCUCGCGUGCAUUUCGAUUCUCCGCCGCAGAGACUCUAUCACUUGCAUCGUCAGUUCCGGCUGGAUGGCAGCGGCAACAAUUUCUUCAAGGUUGUCAAGUGGUCUGCUUUCUGACGUGCAACGAGGACAAGAGGCUCAGGAUUUUCAAUCUGCCUCCAAACACUCUGGAAGUUGAGGCAUUGGAUGAUCUUGCUCGGGAGAGCCUGUGGAUUUUUGCUGGUCCUCACAUGGUCGCCACAGGUUCUUCGUUUUAAUCUCUUGCACUUGAAUUUCAGUAAGGCUUUUGAUUUCUUGUAAAUCUGUCAACUUGUGUCUUCAUGACUACAACGCAGGAUCAUCCAGUUCAUUAUAGAACUUACAAUUGAAGUUUCAGCAGCAUUGUCAGUCGCUUUUAAUCCUGUGGGUAACAGGUAGAAGAUUUCUGAUAUGGUUGCCCAUGGCGCUCGUAGGCUGUUUUGUGGAUACAACAAAAGAUUAGAAUUUUUGAUGCCCCAAAUCCCGGUCGUCACUGCCAACGAGUUCCAAAGAAGGGUGAUCGUCUUUCGACGGUCACGGGCCUCUUGCAGGAAUUGUGUCGUGCCUAGCUUUUAGCGGACACCAAACAAAUCUUCUUGCGGCUGGUUCUUACGAUCGAACCAUAGCAGUGUACAACGAAGGCAACAUGGAGCUUCUAUAUGUGCUGCAAGGACACGAGGGAGGCCUCACUCAAGCAUAGUUCCUCGCUUGAGUCUAUCUAUAAGCUGCUAAGUCAAACAUGUUCAGUUCUCUAA